AAAGACAUGAGACAAGAUAAUCCAUUACCAAACUAUCACCGAAACACACUCAAACGAGCUUCUUCAUUUCUCCUUCUUCUUAUCUUCAAGCGGCAAGGACAGAAAGAUUCCAAAAUGGCUCACUCAUGGGAUCAGCUAGGGGAAAUAGCUUCGGUGGCGCAGCUUACAGGAGUAGACGCCUUGAAACUCAUCGGAAUGAUAGUCACCGCCGCGAACACAGCCCGCAUGCACAAGAAGAACUGCCGCCAGUUCGCUCAGCAUCUUAAGCUCAUUGGUAACUUGCUCGAGCAGCUUAAAAUCUCCGAGAUGAAGAAGACGCGUCCCGAGGUUCAGGAGCCUCUCGAAGGGCUUGAGGACGCUCUUAGAAGAUCUUACCUUCUUGUCAACAGCUGCCAAGACAAGAGUUAUCUCUACUUGUUAGCAAUGGGAUGGAACAUUGUUUACCAGUUUCGUAAGGCUCAGGACGAGAUCGAUCGUUAUCUCAAGAUCAUUCCGCUUAUCACUUUGGUCGACAACGUUCGGGUUCGGGAGAGGCUUGAAGUUAUUGACAGUGAUCAGCGUGAGUACACACUUGACGAAGAAGAUAGAAAGGUGCAAGAUGUUAUUUUGAAACAAGAAUCCACUAGAGAAGCUGCUGCGUCGGUUCUGAAGAGGACGCUCUCUCGGUCUUACCCGGAGAUGGGUUUCUGCGAAGCUCUUAAAACCGAGAAUGGGAAGUUGCAAGUUGAGUUGCAACGUUCCCGUGCGCGUUAUGAUACGGACCAGUGCCAAGUCAUACAGCGUUUGAUUGCUGUUACUGAAACUGUUGAAGAUGUUGAUGAUGAAACUGAGAAAGAUGAGUCAUAUGAUACGGCUUAUCCAAAGAAAAGUAGUACUAGAGGGUUAGAAUCAUCACAACACCAGGAAGAAUGGCACACUGACUUGUUGGAUUGUUGUUCAGAGCCUACUCUAUGCUUGAAGACAUUAUUUUUCCCGUGUGGUACAUUAGCAAAGAUAUCCACUGUGGCUACUAACAAACAAAUCACUUCAAGUGAAGCUUGUAGUGAGCUAAUGGUGUAUUCUUUGAUGCUCUCAUGCUGCUGCUAUACUUGUAGCAUAAGAAAGAAGCUUCGGAAGACGCUGAAUAUAAAGGGAUGUCUUGAUUUGGCAGGGAGGGUCCAUUGACGACUUUUUAUCACAUCUGAUGUGUUGUUGUUGUGCUCUUGUCCAAGAACUGAGAGAAGUUGAGAUUCAUGGAGCUUCGUACGCAGAGAAGAAGAAGAAAAAUAUGACUCCACCAUCACCUCAGUUCAUGGAAGAGUGAAACAUUUUUUUAUCAAAAAAAAAAGAGUGAAACUUUUCUAACACGGAACAGAACAUUUAUCUUGGAUGAUUUUCCUUGAAUAUUUAAUGUAAAUUAGAGUCUUCAUGGAUACUUUCAGAACGCUCCUUGUACUUUUCUUUUACAUAGUAGAUGUAAUUAUGUAGUUGACGAAAACAUUUAUAAGCAAUGCACAUUUGACGAAAA